rnacentral:rRNA from 1 species
GGGCCCGCACAAGCGGUGGAGUAUGUGGUUUAAUUCGAUGCAACGCGAAGAACCUUACCAGGGUUUGACAUCCUGCGAAUUUCUGGGAAACCGGAAAGUGCCUUCGGGAACGCAGUGACAGGUGGUGCAUGGCUGUCGUCAGCUCGUGUCGUGAGAUGUUGGUUAAGUCCCGCAACGAGCGCAACCCACGUCUUUAGUUGCCAGCAUUGAGUUGGGCACUCUAGAGAGACCGCCGGUGAUAAACCGGAGGAAGGUGUGGAUGACGUCAAGUCAUCAUGCCCCUUACAUCCUGGGCUACACACGUACUACAAUGCUACGGACAAAGAGCAGCAAGUUCGCGAGGAC